UACGUAGGGUGCGAGCGUUAAUCGGAAUUACUGGGCGUAAAGCGUGCGCAGGCGGUUUUGUAAGCCAGGUGUGAAAUCCCCGGGCUCAACCUGGGAAUGGCAUUCGGGACUGCAAGGCUGGAGUGCGGCAGAGGAGACUGGAAUUCCUGGCGUAGCAGUGAAAUGCGUAGAUAUCAGGAGGAACACCGAUGGCGAAGGCAGGUCUCUGGGCUGACACUGACGCUCAUGCACGAAAGCGUGGGGAGCAAACAGG
rnacentral:rRNA from 1 species